rnacentral:rRNA from 1 species
GACAGAGGGUGCAAACGUUGUUCGGAAUUACUGGGCGUAAAGCGUGUGUAGGCGGCCGCGUAAGUCGGAUGUGAAAGCCCUGGGCUCAACCCAGGAAGUGCACUCGAUACUGCGCGGCUAGAGUACUGGAGAGGUUGGUGGAAUUCUCGGUGUAGAGGUGAAAUUCGUAGAUAUCGAGAGGAACACCGGUGGCGAAGGCGGCCAACUGGACAGAUACUGACGCUGAGACACGAAAGCGUGGGGAGCGAACAGG